ACAAUAUGGACAUCCAGGGGGCAUAGCACAAAAUUCUGGGCCCUGUAGAAAGGCGUUUUCUAUUGGCCCCUCCCCGCUCCACAGCUAUUCAUUCUAGCAU